rnacentral:rRNA from 1 species
GAUGAACGCUGGCGGCGUGCCUAACACAUGCAAGUCGAACGGAGUCAAGCCUUAGAGACCUGCCGGUCAAAGAGGGGAAGACUGAUUGGCGGACGGGUGAGUAACACGUGGGCAACAUGGCGCAAAGAGGGGGAUAACAGAGAGAAAGUUCUGCUAAUAACGCAUAAGCACACACUGCCGCAUGGCAGAGGGAGAAAAGAGAAGCGCUAUGAGAUGGACCCGAGUCUGAUUAUCCAGUUGGCAGGGUAAGCGCCUCUCAAAGAGACGUUAAGUAGCCGAUUUGAGAGGCAGAACGGAGACAUUGGGACUGGGCCACAGCGCAAAAUCUUACGGGAAGGAGCAGUGGGUGAUAUUGCAAAAUGGCGGGAAGGAUGAUGCAGCGACGCCGCGAGAGUGAAGAAGUAUUUCGGUAUGUACAGCUCUAUCAGCAGGGAAGAUCAUGACAGUACCUGAAUAAGAAGCCCCGGCUAACUACGUG